AUUUCAUGGGUAAUGUUUUCUUUUUGAGUGCAUACAAGCAUGAUUCUGCCCUUUAAUUGUUAAUUGCAUGAUAUAGAUGUUAUUCAAAUGAACAUGUUUUUCACAAAAUAUCCUUCAAGUGGUAUCAGAGCCUACGUCUAGUAGUUGGUGAAUCCUUUUGGGUUUUCUAGUUCAUAGUCUUUGAUUUAAAUGUUGUAAUAUGUUACAACCUUUAUUCUUGUUUCUUUGAAUGUAAAUUUUGUUGGAAAAUUUGCCAUCUCAAAUGUUGUAGAUGUAGUUCAUAUGAGCAUGAAUAUUGGAGCUAAAAUUUGGUGCCAUGUUUUUUGGAAUUUUCGGCCAAAUCCAAAGGGUGGAUUUUUGGGUUCUUGUUUGACUUGUUAAAAGUGUUUUCAAGUAACUUUUGGAACCCUUAUGUACCCUAGUUUGGUUAUAUGUUAUUUCCCUUAAGUUUGAAUGGUUUUGGGAUGUUUUUGGGUGAAAAAUGUUCAUGGAAUUUUUUUGAGUUUUUCAUGAGUGUUCUUCAUUGUUCUUGACAUUUUUGCCAAGAACAAAAAGUUUGGUGUUUUGAUUCAAAGUUUUGGUUAAUUUCAUAAAGUCUUUGUUUUGUGCUUUAUCAAAUGUUUAAUGUGAUUGAAAUUGUGUAAGGUGAUAGAAAUGUUGAUAGAUGUGUAAGAAGUACUUAUCUUACACACACACACACCAACUUAUUUCCACCAGCAUGGUUCCACUUGCAAGGCUUUAUGAAUUUGUUGAAAAAAAAAAAAUUUCCAAAUUUUUGUGGGCUUAUCUUUUCUCUCUUUUCUCCCUAAAACCGCCCACCCUAUUAAAAUAGGGUAUUUUUGGGGCUUUUAUGCAAUUACAUAAAGUUUUGAUACUUUUGUGUAUUUGUAUUUUGACCCGAAAGUUUACGUUUUGACGUUAAGGCCUAAAAACGCUAAAGGACAAAUUGUUUUGCUCCUUUAAUGAAGUUUUUAUAUUUAUUGAAAUUUUUGGGUUCUAGUUGUAAUUACAUGAAGUUGUGGACUUUUGUGUUUUUACAAAGUGACCCCAAAAGUUUGUGUUUUUGCAAUAUGGCCCAAAAGUUGAGGUUAUUGCAUUUUGGCCCAAAUUAAGUUGAGAACAAAAUUGUUUUGUCUCUUCAAAUGAGAAUUGGAUUUUCAUUUCAUUUAGCUCCAUUUAAAUCAAUUUUAUGGAUACAAAAACCAAAUGAAAAUGUUGCAUUCAAGUUUAAUUAGUUAAAGCGUUAAUUAAUUAAAGGGUGAUUAUGAACCUAAGCCUACGAUAAUUGAGCUAUGUGAAAGGCCGUUUGAAAUUUGUUUGAACCAUGGGAAUGUGUAGAUUAGAUUUUGGUUGUAAUUUGAUUUGAUCAAAUGUUGUAAAAGAGCAUAAGCUCUUCUUUACUUUAAAGUAAUUUGUAUUAUUCAAAUGUUGUAAAGAGCAUAAGCUCAUCUUUACUUUGAAGUACUCAUUUCUUGUUUUAUUUGAUAUGCAUGAAAAUGGAGUAGAGGGUCCAACACCCCUAAGACAACACGCCUUAAUGUGAUUAAACGCGUAACUAAAAUCAAUCACCAUCCUUAGAACGAGAUUCAACACUAGGCUCGUGUUGAAUCUAAACAAAGGUUCAUAGUCAUCCUAAGGCCCUAAGGCAACUAUAUAGUCCAUCAAAUGAAUGCAAAGUUUAUGUUAGUAGUAUCAUAUACUCUUGCUUUAAAAACCGUUUUAUAAGCAUAGUGGGAGUAUUAUAUACAACUAAAACAAUCAAAUGGACCAAUAGUUGUAAUAGGACCAAAAUUGUUUAAUAAAGAUUAAAAUGAAUAUUUAUAUGUGAUGAGACCUAAAAACCCUCAACCAAACCAUUAUUAAGUUUAGAAGCGUGAGAAUGCUUUGAACACUCUUCCGUGGCCUUCCACCGUGGUAGGCUCCGAUCGUUUGUGACUCGUACACCGGCUUCACCCUAUCAUGGGGGAGUACAAAGUGAGUGCUUACACUCAGGAGGAGUCUAUAUGCAUACUUGAUGUUGUGAAAGGUAGGCAAUGAGAAUAGACAACAUCAUAUCAUUGUGAGGUUGUUCUUGAACCCCUACCCGAACUUGCAUGGUGGGAAUGACUUAACUAAGUGCAAUGGAGCCAACAUCAUAUCAUUGUGAGGUGACAUUCUCUAGAGGCCAAAUAAGAUGGGUAAUUGCAAGAGAUGCAAAUGAGUAAGUGUACUCUCUCAUUAUUAUUAAUGCUAGCCAACAUCAUAUCAUUAUGAGGUGGGCUUGGUUGUAGUGAGUCUCCCAUACCCUACUAAGAGUUACCUCCAAAACUCUCGAAUUCCAAUGAGGGAUAUGGAAUUUGCCAAAAAUAGUGGGUGGUGCUAUUUGAUUUAAAGACCCGAAUCAAAUGGCUUAAAAUCAAUCGAUUUAUAUUCGUUAUGUAUUUAUUUACCAAUAUAUUUGCAAACGCUAUCCAACACUUGACAAAUAAAAGCCAAAAGCUUUAGUUUCCGGACUUGGUACUACAAAACCAUAGAUUGUCUUUAAUGGCUUGUAAAUGUACCUAAGUAGUCUCAUCCUCACAAUCUUCCUAUUGAUAAUGUAUCAUUAGAAGAAUAUGUUAGAAAAAGUCUAUCAUAAAGAGGAUAACACUUUUAAUGUCAUAAUUCUUCAAUUACAAAUUGUUGUAUGAAGAAAUAAGAGUUGCUUUGAACAACCCUUAGUCAAUGCAAACACUAGUGCUUGUUUCUUUGUUAAAUGAACAAAGAACUUGAGAAGAAAGCACAAGGGCAUAGACACUUUCUGUGCCAUGAUUCUUCACUUACAAAUUGUUGUAUGAAGAAAUGAGAGUUGCCUUGAACAACUCUUGAAAGUUUGUAAUUAUGUUUAGAACAUAAUGGUUGGUUGACAAAAAUAGUCCAUCAACAUGGACUUAUGAUGAUUUUGAAUCAUUGAGUGUUGAAGUGUUAAACCACUUAACGAGACGGAAACUAGGCUAGGACUUCACCUUUAUGUCCCUAUCCUAAUGGUUCACUAAGUUUAUUGUAAACUAUGUAGUGAACAAUAACCACAUACUCUCCAAAUCGUUUGAUGUGUAUAACACAAUUGAAAUAAGUUUCAAGAGAGAUAGUGGGAGUUUAAGGACCAUGACUAUUGUAGUCAAAGGAGAAGUCAAAUGAAGAAAUCGAAAUAACUCCAAGGGAACAAACUUUCUUUAUGAAAGGAUGGACAUUGGAAGGGGUAUUUGCAAGAAAAGUCUUGCAAGUGUCAAGAACACACCUUUCGAAGGUGUUGUAAAUUGUUCUUGAUAGUUCAAAACAGUUGGUUCUUCUACUUGAAUGCUUGAUUCCGUAUUAGUAACUAUGUUUUACAAUCAUUGUAAAAGAGUGACUAAUAAGAAGUAGAAGAUAUAUGAGAGAAGAAAAAGGUGCUUCACAUUCGGAACGUGAAUAAAAUAAAGAUCUCUGCGAAAGCAGAUAGUACUUACUUCCUUAUAUGAACUACCAAAGAAAUUGGAAAACCCAAAGAUUGUCUUUACAUUCCAAUUUUAAGGAACUUAAUUCCGUCACUAUAGUAGAGAUGGAUGAAUGUUUUGUUUGACAAAACAUUGUUCUUUAUUAAUCAAUGAUUCGAUUAUAGUAAUCUAAUUGAUUGUCUCUAUAGUAGAGAUGAUAUGGUAUUGUUAACUGUUUAGAAUAUAACGAUGCUUAAAACCCAAAAGGUUGCAAGGUAGUGACUAAUCCCAACUAAAGUUGUGAUACCUCUAAAACAUAAAUUACGAGUUGGUCAAAGAUGGAUGCUUUGGAUCGUUAGAUCUGGAUCCAAUACCUUCUUAUUAAAAUUGUAUAGAGGCGAAAUGUUCGAAUCUUUAUUCUUUUG
rnacentral:lncRNA from 1 species